rnacentral:rRNA from 1 species
UACGGGGGGGGCUAGCGUUGUUCGGAAUUACUGGGCGUAAAGGGCUCGUAGGCGGCCAGCUCAGUCAGACGUGAAAUCCCUCGGCUUAACCGAGGAACUGCGUCUGAUACUAGCUGGCUGGAAUCCGGGAGAGGGAUGUGGAAUUCCAGGUGUAGCGGUGAAAUGCGUAGAUAUCUGGAGGAACACCGGUGGCGAAGGCGGCAUCCUGGACCGGUAUUGACGCUGAGGAGCGAAAGCCAGGGGAGCAAACGGG